rnacentral:rRNA from 1 species
AACGUAGGUUCCGAGCGUUAUCCGGAUUUACUGGGCGUAAAGCGUGUUCAGGCGGCUGGACAAGUCGGGCAUGAAAUCUCUCGGCUCAACCGGGAGAGGCUGUCCGAAACUGUUCGGCUGGAGGGCAGUAGAGGGUGGUGGAAUUCCGGGUGUAGUGGUGAAAUGCGUAGAUAUCCGGAGGAACACCAGUGGCGAAAGCGGCCACCUGGACUGUACCUGACGCUCAAACACGAAAGCUAGGGGAGCGAACGGG